rnacentral:miRNA from 1 species
UUGCAUAGUCACAAAAGUGGUC